rnacentral:rRNA from 1 species
AUUGAACGCUGGCGGCAGGCCUAACACAUGCAAGUCGAACGAGUGGCGGACGGGUGAGUAAUGUCUGGGAAACUGCCCGGUGGAGGGGGAUAACUACUGGAAACGGUAGCUAAUACCGCAUACCAUCAGAUGUGCCCAGAUGGGAUUAGCUAGUAGGUGGGGUAACGGCUCACCUAGGCGACGAUCCCUAACUGGUCUGAGAGGAUGACCAGCCACACUGGAACUGAGACACGGUCCAGACUCCUACGGGAGGCAGCAGUGGGGAAUAUUGCACAAUGGGCGCAAGCCUGAUGCAGCCAUGCCGCGUGUAUGAAGAAGGUCUUCGGGUUGUAAAGUACUUUCAGUGAGGAGGCGUUACUCGCAGAAGAAGCACCGGCUAACUCCGUGCCAGCAGCCGCGGUAAUUC